CUCGCGUCUCUACUGUGAUGUCAAAUAUCAAUACCAGACUCACCUCUCUGCUGUGAUGUCAAAUAUCAAUACCAGACUUGUCUCUCUGCUGUGAUUUCAAAAUCAAUGCCAGACAUGAAUCUCUGCUGUGAUGUCAAAUAUCAAUACCAGAUUCAUAACUUAUCAGCAAUCGCCGCUCGCCGGGCGUGUUUCUUAUGUAGCGUAUGAGCAAUUGCCAAUAAUUGGGUGUGUCUGUGACAUAACUUAUCAGCAAUCGCCGCUCGCCGAGCGUGUCUGUGACGUGACGUAUUAGCGAUCGCCAGUGUCAGGGCGUGACUGUUUUGUGACUUAUCAGCAAUCGCAGCUGGCCCGGCGUGUCUAUGACGUGACGUAUUAGCGAUCGCCAAUGUCAGGGCGUGACUGUUUUGUGACUUAUCAGCAAUCGCGGCUCGCCCGGCGUGUCUAUGACGUGACGUAAUAGCGAUCGCCAGUGUCAGGGCGUGACUGUUUUGUGACUUAUCAGCAAUCGCCACUUGCAGGCCGUGUUUGUUAUGUGACGUAUGAGCAAUCGCCAAUAAUUGGGCGUGUCUGUGACAUAACUUAUCAACAAUCGCCACUCACACGGGGUGUGUCUGACGUGAAGUAUGAGUGAUCGCCGGUCACAGGGCGUGUCUCUGACGUGACUUAUCAGCACUCGCCGCUCGCCGGGCGUGUGUGUGACGUGACGUAUUAGCGAUCGCCAAAGUCAGGGCGUGACUGUUUUGUGACUUAUCAGCAAUCGCCACUCACACGGGGUGUGUCUGACGUGAAGUAUGAGCUAUCGCCGAGCACAGGGCGUGUCUCUGCUGUGAUGUCAAAUAUCAAUGCCAGACUCGCGUCUCUCUCCUGUGAUGUCAAAUAGCAAUGAAAGAGUAGAUUCCCUGCUGUGAUGUCACACAUCAAUUCCAGAUUGCUCUCACUGCUGUGAUAGCACAUAUCAAUAACAAACUCGCGUCUCUGCUGUGAUGUCAAAAAUCAAUGCCAGACUUGAGUCUCGACUGUGAUAUCAAAUAACAAUACAAGACUCGCG
ensembl:lncRNA